UGGGGAAUCUUCCGCAAUGGACGAAAGUCUGACGGAGCAACGCCGCGUGAGUGAUGACGGCCUUCGGGUUGUAAAGCUCUGUUAAUCGGGACGAAUGGUUCUUGUGCAAAUAGUGCGAGGAUUUGACGGUACCGGAAUAGAAAGCCACGGCUAACUACGUGCCAGCAGCCGCGGUAAUACGUAGGUGGCAAGCGUUGUCCGGAAUUAUUGGGCGUAAAGCGCGCGCAGGCGGAUUGGUCAGUCUGUCUUAAAAGUUCGGGGCUUAACCCCGUGAUGGGAUGGAAACUGCCAAUAUAGAGUAUCGGAGAGGAAAGUGGAAUUCCUAGUGUAGCGGUGAAAUGCGUAGAUAUUAGGAAGAACACCAGUGGCGAAGGCGACUUUCUGGACGAAAACUGACGCUGAGGCGCGAAAGCCAGGGGAGCGAACGGG
rnacentral:rRNA from 1 species